GUCAGGUGCGGUGGUGCGCACCUGUAGUCCCAGCUACUCAGGAGGCUGAGGCUGGAGGAUUGCUUGAGUCCAGUAGUUCUGGGCUGUAGUGCGCUAUGCCGACCGGUUGUCCGCACUAAGUUCAGCAUCAGUAUGGUGACCUCCCAGGAGCGGGGGACCACCAGGUUGCCUAAGGAGGGGUGAACUUGUUCAGGUCGGAAACGGAGCAGGUCAAAACUCCUGUGCUGAUCAGUAGUGGGAUCGCGCCUGUGAAUAGCCACUGCACUCCAGCCUGGGUAACAUAGCGAGACCCUGUCUCU
ensembl:misc_RNA Metazoa_SRP Metazoan signal recognition particle RNA